AUGCCGCUAGGGCUUAGGCUGCGAUGUCGCUAUCCACAAGGCAUUUCAUUGCCAAAUAUAUUUGAAUGUGUCCAUCACAGAGUGGCCGUUUCAAAUGCAAACCUCAUCCAGCCUCGUGUCCUCUGCAGGGUGUCGGGCCCCCUCCUGUCUCCUGGGAUGAAGGGGACCGGGACACCCCCCCCCCAUCCGCUGGAGAAGCAGCACGUCCACUCUCACCAUAAGCCCUACUCCCAGUAUCACCACCACCCGUGUGCCAGUGACGAAUACCAGGGCAGCUUCCAGAGCUGCUUCCAUUUCGGCGACUCCUACAGGAUGGAGCAGACGGCAGCUGGCGCCCACCUGGGGGGCGACUCCCACGUCUACGCGUCCCAGCAGCACAACGGCUUCCACAUGGCGCCGGGCGGCGCCGGCUCCGCAGGUGAGCGCGCCGCGGCCCGCGGGUCGGUCCGGGUGGGUCGGUGGUUUCAGGUAAUGAUGCGACGCCGUGCGCGUCUCCUCUGUGACGCAGGCUUCGGCUUGACCCAGGAGCUGCAGGGAAACGCCGGGUGCCAGUUCUCCUCCGGCCCCGAGGAGAGCGUCUACUUCCAGGUGGGCAGCUUCGACCGCAGCCUGAGCCACGUGUCCUCCGUCUACACCGAGACGUAGAGCAGCGCUGGAGCAGGACCUUCACCCACAGUCUCCAAUAGAUCUGAAACUACAUAGGCUUCAUGACAGUAAUUCUGUAUUAUAAACCCCUGAAAUUCCCUAAACCCGUUCAGAUGUUUGCUGCAUCUGCUUAAACAUGGCCUGAGAGCGUCAGUGACACCACAUUGUGACAUUCAAAUUAAUGAGACACUUAUUUAUUGGGAAAGAAUCUGAUAUUGUUGUUUAUGGCACACGCAUGUGGAUCAAUAAGCUGUGAUCACACCUUUGUGCCUCGCAUUUCGCAUGUUGGUGGGAGGGACUGAGUCCGGUCCAGAUGAACUACCUACAGGUCACUCCCUGGCUUUCCGUAAGGAUCACAGACUUUGACUCAGCCGUUCCCAAAUGAGUUCUACUUGCAACAUUUUCUGGUUCCAGAUGUGUUUAAUGCUGUUGCCUUUCUGCUGAUUUUCAGUUCACAGCUGGAUACCUUUUUCAUCAAUUGCUUUUACAGCCACAGGAAAACAGGCCCAAACCCUGAUGAUGUCAUCAGCGUGGUGCGCACAUGGAAUCAGGCGCUCACGCGGGAACAAAGUGCUUAGUCAUUGUUAAAUGUGGCGCCUCACACGGAAGCCGCACAGUUCCACCUCGGACGCAGACGUCCGCUGACCGCCGGUCCGACAGCCGCCUCUGGCUCAUCCGCACAGCGAACCGUGAGUGAGCAGCCAUGCUGUCUCUGCUGAGGGUCAGGCGCAGUGGCAUCAGAAACACAACCUUCUACUGUACAAACGUAGUGUCGACAUCAGCCUUUUCUGGUGUGGAGCCACAUUUUCUGCUUUAUUAAAGAUGACACGUGUCUCCCAGGCUCCCACCUGAGUUCAUGAUCUGCCUUUUCAAAUUCAUUUAAACUUCAAAUUAAUUGAUUAAUGCAGUCUGGCAGCACGGAGAUCUGUGGACAACUUCCCACUAUAAAUAAAUAGUCAUUUUAUGUUUAACCCA
rnacentral:lncRNA from 1 species